rnacentral:tRNA from 1 species
GAGGGUAUAGCUUAAUGGUAGAGCGCAUGCUUAGCAUGCAUGGGAUCCUGGGUUCAAUCCUCAGUAACUCCA